rnacentral:lncRNA from 1 species
UUUUAUGCUGGUGGUGUCGUGUCCUCCAUCGCUGACUUCAGAGAACAUUUAAAGAGUUGAUAGAGGCUACUCCCUCUUAAGAGGGGGUCAGUGAGACUCAGGGAGCCACACAGCGUCCUCUCCAGUCCUCCUCGACACACAGCGCUCCUGCAGUAGCGUUUCAGGCGACCUUGAGCUCUGAGUGACGCCUGGCCUGUUAUGAGUUCCUGCCUGCAGGAACUUUGUGGGAACUUCUCUGUGUUCUGGCUGGUGCGAAUCUAGAGGUCUCAGUACAGCACUGUGUCAGCCAGCUGAGGACUCCCAGAACCUUAUGGGUUUCUAAAGCAGCACCAUGGCCCAUGUCUUGAUUCCUGGGUUGUCUCGAGGCUCUGUGGGAGCCAUCUGCACUCAGGCUGCUUCGUGGGCACUGCCUACCAGCACUCUGCGUUCCCUUACCUUAGCCAGCGUAAUGAGAUCCAGAAGGAAAACUGACCACCUAGAGAGAACCGCCACUGUCCUCCGCCGGGAGGUCAUGGCUGCAGCUAAGGUGUGUGAGAUCACUCACGAGUCUCCAUCAGUGAAGAGCCUCCGUUUGCUUGUUGCUGAUAAAGACUUUUCCUUCAAGGCUGGCCAGUGGGUUGAUUUCUUCAUCCCAGGAGUUUCAGUGGUUGGUGGGUUUUCAAUUUGCUCCAGUCCCCAACAGCUAGAACGAGAGAGAAUAAUAGAAUUGGCAGUGAAAUACACGAACCAUCCUCCUGCUGUCUGGGUUCACAAUAAGAGGUUGCAGAGAAUUCUUGCUUGUGUGGGAACUUCGUGUAAGGAGAGGAAGGAAGCCAACAGGAGCAGAUGUUACCGGAGCAGCAGGACAGAUGCGUGCUGGGGGACGUGGAGCAUCGUUCAGCAGAGCAGCUGGGAGAGCAGGUUGAGUGUACUGGCUGCAGUUCAGCUUAGUGAGGAGAAGAGCUACCCAGAGAAUCAGAAACAAGCCAUAUUUGUAGCAAGUAACAUGCCCUUGUUUUGGGCACUGAAACUUGCAAACUAGGUCACUCUCUUGAUCCAUCCUCCAGUAAGAAUCAUC